rnacentral:rRNA from 1 species
GGACCCGCACAAGCGGUGGAGUAUGUGGUUUAAUUCGAUGCAACGCGAAGAACCUUACCAGGGUUUGACAUCCUGCGAAUCUCCUGGAAACAGGAGAGUGCCUUCGGGAACGCAGUGACAGGUGGUGCAUGGCUGUCGUCAGCUCGUGUCGUGAGAUGUUGGGUUAAGUCCCGCAACGAGCGCAACCCACGUCUUUAGUUGCCAGCAUUUAGUUGGGCACUCUAUGGAAACUGCCCGUGAUAAGCGGGAGGAAGGUGUGGAUGACGUCAAGUCCUCAUGGCCCUUACGGGUUGGGCUACACACGUGCUACAAUGGUAGUGACAAUGGGUUAAUCCCAAAACUAUCUCAGUUCGGAUUGUCGUCUGCAACUCGACGGCAUGAAGUCGGAAUCGCUAGUAAUCGG